CCUACGGGAGGCAGCAGUGGGGGAUAUUGCACAAUGGGGGGAACCCUGAUGCAGCGACGCCGCGUGGGUGAAGGAGUAUUUCGGUAUGUAAAGCCCUAUCGGCAGGGAAGAAUUUAGACGGUACCUGACUAAGAAGCCCCGGCUAACUACGUGCCAGCAGCCGCGGUAAUACGUAGGGGGCAAGCGUUAUCCGGAUUCACUGGGUUGAAAGGGAGCGUAGACGGCCAGGCAAGCCUGGAGUGAAAGCCCGGGGCCCAACCCCGGGACUGCUCUGGGAACUGUCCGGCUGGAGUGCGGGAGGGGCAGGCGGAAUUCCUAGUGUAGCGGUGGAAUGCGUAGAUAUUAGGAGGAACACCAGUAGCGAAGGCGGGUUGCUAGACUGUAACUGACACUGAGGCACGAAAGCGUGGGGAGCAAACAGGAUUAGAUACCCCUGUAGUC
rnacentral:rRNA from 1 species